UACGUAGGGUGCGAGCGUUAAUCGGAAUUACUGGGCGUAAAGCGUGCGUAGGCGGUUUUGUAAGUCAGAUGUGAAAUCCCCGGGCUUAACCUGGGAAUGGCAUUUGGGACUGCAAGGCUGGAGUGCGGCAGAGGAGACUGGAAUUCCUGGUGUAGCAGUGAAAUGCGUAGAUAUCAGGAGGAACACCGAUGGCGAAGGCAGGUCUCUGGGCUGACACUGACGCUCAUGCACGAAAGCGUGGGGAGCAAACAGG
rnacentral:rRNA from 1 species